rnacentral:hammerhead_ribozyme from 1 species
AUGGAGCUGGUGAGUCCCAAAUAGGACGAAACGCGUGUCCUGAAU